CAAUAGCGUAUAUUAAAGUUGUUGCAGUUAAAAAGCUCGUAGUUGGAUUUGUAGCGUACGGUGUGUUCCGGGCACUUGUUGUCUGAGUAACCUGCUGUUGCCAUCCUUGGGUGGAACCUGUGUGGCAUUAGGUUGUCGUGCAGGGGAUGCCCAUCAUUUACUGUGAAAAAAUUAGAGUGUUCAAAGCAGGCUUAUGCCGUUGAAUAUAUUAGCAUGGAAUAAUGAGAUAGGACUUUUUUGCUAUUUUGUUGGUUUGCGCAAGAAGGUAAUGAUUAAUAGGGACAGUUGGGGGUAUUCGUAUUCCAUUGUCAGAGGUGAAAUUCUUGGAUUUUUGGAAGACGAACUACUGCGAAAGCAUUUACCAAGGAUGUUUUCAUUAA
rnacentral:rRNA from 1 species